rnacentral:tRNA from 1 species
GGCCCCAUAGCUCAGAAGAUAGAGCAUUCGCCUCCUAAGCGAAGGGUCGCCUGUGCAAUUCAGGCUGGGGUCA